UACGUAGGGUGCAAGCGUUGUCCGGAAUUAUUGGGCGUAAAGAGCUCGUAGGCGGCUUGUCGCGUCGUUCGUGAAAACCUGCAGCUCAACUGCAAGCUUGCGGUCGAUACGGGCAGGCUAGAGUUCGGUAGGGGAGACUGGAAUUCCUGGUGUAGCGGUGAAAUGCGCAGAUAUCAGGAGGAACACCGGUGGCGAAGGCGGGUCUCUGGGCCGAUACUGACGCUGAGGAGCGAAAGCGUGGGGAGCGAACAGG
rnacentral:rRNA from 1 species